rnacentral:rRNA from 1 species
UACGUAGGGGGCGAGCGUUGUCCGGAUUUAUUGGGCGUAAAGAGCGUGUAGGCGGCCAGGUAGGUCUGCUGUGAAAACUCGAGGCUCAACCUCGAGACGUCGGCGGAAACCAUCUGGCUAGAGUCCGGAAGAGGAGUGUGGAAUUCCUGGUGUAGCGGUGAAAUGCGCAGAUAUCAGGAAGAACACCUAUGGCGAAGGCAGCACUCUGGGACGGUACUGACGCUGAGACGCGAAAGCGUGGGGAGCGAACAGG